rnacentral:lncRNA from 1 species
GGCCGCUGGAUUCAAGAUGGAUGCGCGAGAUUAGAAGAAGAAAAUAGAGGCAGGGAGGAGGUGGCGCGCCGGUCGGAGGGGAGGAAGGAGACGGCGGGGCUCCAUAGCCGCAGCGAGCAAGGUCGCCGGAGUCGGUGGCUACGGCGCUACGGAGCACCAAAACCCAAACCGAAAACUCUAAGAGAAAGAGGAGAGUGAGGGGAGUUCGUUUCUGUCCUUUGCGUGGUCGGGGAAGGGCCCGAGUGGCCCGCGCCAUGACCGGCGGCGAUGAACUCCUCCGGUGAGAGCGGCCAGAGCGCUAGGAAGCUCCAUUUUGCUCAGGAAAUGGAUGGGGAGAGAGCGGGGAGGGGAGGGGAAGCUCACUAGCGCGACGGAAACGGCGGAGACGGCUCGAUUUCGGGAUGGGCACGCGGAGGUCGCCGGAGGUUCACUGAGCUCGCGCGAGAGAGAAGAGAUGGGGAAGGGGAAAAGAAAUGGGAGGGGAAGGACGGUUCGGCGUGGCUCUGUCCACUUCAAUCCGAGGCGCGGGGGGAGAAGAGGGGGAAAAACGUGGGAGCAGGGGGUGCCCUGCGGUUUCAGAGGCGAGAGUGAGAGGGGGAGCGGGCGGGCGGUUGGAGGAGAUGAAGCUGACAGGCGAGCCCGGCCUGUCAGCGGGUGAGAGAGAGGGGAAGGGGAAGGAGGCCGGCUGGGCCUGGCCUAGGAAGGAGAAAGGGGGAGGUGCGGGCAACUGGGCCAAGCAGGUCGAAAAGAGAAGAGGGGGGAGGGGAAAAGAAUUCCAUUUUUUUUCUUUUUUUUUCAAAUAAAUUUUCAAGACAUUUUCCAAUUGUUUUUAAAACAAUCAUCACAAUAAAAUGCACCAGCAUGUAUGAAACAAAAAUAAUAUUCUAAACUUAUAUUUAAUUUAAUUUCCCAAAAUUUAUUAUUUUCCUAUAUUGAAAUGCUCACAAAUUAAUUAAUUAAACUCAAUUCAUCUAUUUUAAAGAAAUAAAAUUUUGGGUGUUACACUACAGUAGCCAAAAACUAAAUUUUUUGCGAACUAAACAAGGUCUUAGAUGUGAAAACUUUUUGGAUUUCGCUAUUGUAACACUUUCGUUUGUUUGUGGCAAAUAUUGUCCAAUCAUAGACUAACUAGAGUCAAAAGAUUCGUCACACGAUUUAUAGGUAAACUGUGUAAUUAGUUUUUUAUUUUUGUCUAUAUUUAGUGCUGCAUACAUGUGCGAAUGUACCGUAAAAUUUGAUGUGACGAAGAAUCUUAAAUUUUUUUUGAUUUUGGUGAGAACUAAACCAAAAAAUUUUCAAGAUUCCUUGUCACAUCGAAUCUUGCAGCACAUACAUGGAGCACUAAAUAUAGACAAAAAUAAAAACUAAUUGCACAGUUUACCUGUAAAUCGCGAGAUGAAUCUUUUAAGCCUAAUUACUUCAUAAUUGGACAAUGUUUGUUAAAUAAAAACGAAAGUGCUAUAGUCCUAAAACCAAAAGAUUUUCGGAACUAAGGCCUCAUUUAGUUCUAAAAAAUUUUGAAAAAUAUUAUCUAGAUUUAAUAUUCCAUGCAUACGUCUAAAAUUAUU